rnacentral:rRNA from 1 species
UGGGGAAUUUUGCACAAUGGGGGAAACCCUGAUGCAGCGACGCCGCGUGAUUUAGAAGGCCUUCGGGUUGUAAAAAUCUUUUUUAUGGGAUGAAAAUGACAGUACCAUAAGAAUAAGGUCCGGCUAAAUACGUGCCAGCAGCCGCGGUAAUACGUAUGGACCGAGCGUUGUCCGGAAUCAUUGGGCGUAAAGGGUACGUAGGCGGCCCAGUAAGUUAGAAGUGAAAUAAUAUAGCUCAACUAUAUAAAGCUUUUAAAACUGCUAGGCUUGAGAGAUGGAAGGGAAAGUGGAAUUCCUAGUGUAGCGGUGAAAUGCGCAGAUAUUAGGAAGACUACCGGUGGCGAAGGCGACUUUCUGGUCAUCAUCUGACGCUGAGGUACGAAAGCGUGGGUAGCAAACAGG